GAGUGGGCGGGAAUGAAUGAAGAAGCGUGGGCUCACCAUGGUUCCUAGAGUGUUGAUGAAGUGACGGGAGAGGGAGGCGGAAGUCAAGAGCAGCCCUUGGAAAAGGCUGCCCGCCCAGGCUGUGAUGCUGUCUGCGGGCCCGUGCAGCCUGGUCCCGGGGUGGGCUCUCUGCACGCGGGCCCGUGCAGCCUGUUCCCGGGAUGGGCACACAGCUGCCACCUCCCCACACCCCAGCACCGGGGAGCGCCCCAGGGCUCCGCUGUGGCCUGCCCUGCGGCUGGCAGGCCAUCUUCCGGGGAGAGGAGAGGAGAAGAAAUGGUGGUAGAGAAAGAAAGGCAAGGGGAGCUGUGCAGAACCACCCGGAAGCUGGAGAGUUCAACGCGGAGAACCUGCUCUGUGCCAGGCCCCCACCUGGGAGGUGUGGGCAACCUUCCUGCCUUCCGGGUGCUCAGAGUCUAGUCUGGAGACAAUAAGAAAAAUGGUUAAUCACCAUGGAAUGUGCUAGCGCCUUAGCCCGAAGCAGGGGUCUGGUUGUUGAGAUUUUUCUGCAAACAAUUGUGCGUGAAAUCCGGACCCAGAUGCUGCAGAACUGAAGUGGGAAGGGACUGACCACCAGUGGGCAAAAGGCCGAAGAGGGUAGGCCAGAGAGGGGCUGUCUCUAAGGGCUAAAAAUACAAGGGUUGAGACCAAC